AACGAACGCUGGCGGCAGGCCUAACACAUGCAAGUCGAGCGCGCCCUUCGGGGUGAGCGGCGGACGGGUGUGUAACGCGUCGGAACGGUCCCUUUUCUACGGAAUAGCAUCUGGAAACGGAGAGUAAUACCGUAUAAGCCCUGCUGGGGAAAGAUUUAUCGGAAAAGUAUAGGCACGCGUUGUACUAGGUAGUUGCGGGGGUAAUAGCCUACCAAGGAGACGAUCCAUAGCGGGUUUGAGAGAAUGAUAGGCCACACUGGGACUGAGACACGGCCCAGAAUACUACGGGAUGCAGCAAUGGGUAAUCUUAGACAAUCGGGGGGAUCAAGAUGUAGCCAUGGCGCGUAAGUCAUUAAGGUGUGAGGGUAGUAAAGCUCUUUAAGAUGGGGCGAUAAUGACGGUACCCGCAGAAGAAGCCCCGGCUAACUUCGUG
rnacentral:rRNA from 1 species